CCAUUAACGGGGUUCACCGUAUGCUCCGUAUGUUCGAGGAUCCCUUUCCGACCGCGCCACCGCCACCGCCAUCGCCCAUCGCCAUCGCCAUCGCCACGGAGGAGGAGCAAGAAAAGGCGGCGGGAAAAGAGAGCGAGCGGCUGGGUUCACUGGUCAGGGCUAGUGCGUGCGGUGUUGCGCUUGCGUCCCCAUCGAUCUUUGGGAUGAACUUUGCGGUAAGCAAGGUAUAGUUUCGCCAUCCGCGAAAGGGGCGCGAGAUUCGCUGCCCCCUGUCUCCACAGCCCAGCCACGCACGCAGCAGCAUGAUGCCACAUCGCUCUCGGGUUUCUUUUUUUUUUUUUUGCCGCGGAUAGGAUUGGAAUCUUCCUGUCCCUCUCCUCCUCUACAAGUGUGUGCGCUCUAUCGCCGUGUCCCAGCUUCUUGUGCAGGCCUUCUGUUCGAUGAAUUGCCCACAUGGGGCUCCCCCGCAGUGGCGUGCUGGUCUUUGGGCUUGUGUGCGUGUUCCAACUGUCGCAUUCGUCUUCAGAUGAUGACUUCACCAAGGUUAGGGCGGUGAACCUGGGAGGUUGGUUGGUGGUGGAGGGGUGGAUCAAGCCUUCGUUGUUUGAUGGCAUCUCAAACGGGGACAUGCUUGUAGGCUCUCUGGUUCUUGGAGGAUGGCACUCAGGUGCAGCUGAAGUCAGUGGGGCUCCAGAAGUACCUGAGCGCAAAUGGUGGUGGCGGCGGGAACUUGACAGUGGAUCAGGAUGUUGCUUCAACAUGGGAGACCUUCAGGCUUUGGAGAGUUUCUUACCGUGAAUAUCAAUUCCGGUGCAUCAAAGGUCAGUUUUUAACAGCAAGUAAUGGAGAUGUGAUCUCAGCAACUGCAGAUUCACCAGGAGACACUGAAUCAUUUUACAUCGAAAGGAACAAUUCAAUGCUUCAUAUCAAGCUUUUAAAUGGGGGCUAUCUGCAGGUCACAAACAAUAAUCAGCUUACUUCAAAUUAUCCUUCCCAGCCAGGAUGGGAUGAUGGUAUGGCAACAUUUGAAAUGACUAUUGUUGCCAACAACUUACAUGGAGAUUACCAACUUGCUAAUGGGCUUGGGCCUGAUCAGGCAAUGGUUGUCUUAACAGAACACCGAAAAAACUUUAUUACAGGAAAAGAUUUCUAUUUUCUUUCAAAAAAUGGUAUAAAUGCAGUUAGGAUUCCAGUUGGAUGGUGGAUUGCAUAUGAUCCUAAUCCACCUGCUCCAUUUGUCAGUGGUUCCCUGGAUACCCUGGAUAGAGCAUUCUACUGGGCACAGUAGGAUUUAUGGCUUGAAGUGCAUCAUUGAUCUUCAUGCUGCUCCUGGCUCUCAAAACGGAAUGGAACACAGUGCAAGUAGGGAUGGUUCAGUAGAUUGGCCUUCACCAGCUAACAUCGAGAAAACACUGGAUGUCAUUAAUUUUCUGGCUCAAAGAUAUGCAAACAACCCCUCUCUCCUAGGUAUUGAGCUAUUGAAUGAGCCUUCUGCAGGCGCGGUACCACUAGGCACUCUAGUGUCGUAUUACAAAACAGGAUACCAGAUUGUACGAAGUUAUUCGGACAAAGCUUACGUUAUAUUCUGCCAGAGGAUUGGGAAUGCAGACCCAAUGGAGCUUUAUCAGGCUGACCUGGGUCCAACUAACACUGUUGUAGACUUGCAUUACUACAAUCUGUUUGAUCCGUUUUUUGAGAAACUUAAUGCAACAGAGAACAUACAGUUCAUAUACAAUAACAGAAUGCCUCAAGUGCAGGCCUUGGAUAAAGCGAAUGGACCUCUUGUUUUUAUUGGAGAAUGGGUAAAUGAAUGGAAUGUGACAGACGCUUCACAAACCGAAUACCAGUUGUUUGGAAAAGCCCAAUUAGAGGUCUACGGGGAAGCCUCCUUUGGCUGGUCUUAUUGGACAGUCAGGUGCAACAGUGUGCACUGGGAUUAUGAAUGGAACAAAAGGAAUAGGUACCUCAUUGGUGGUUCACCGUUGGAAAGCCCAAAGUACAUGCUUCUUGUGGCAGGAUGCCUACUCUAUCUUUUAUUUAUAUUGACAUGAUACUUGAAACUCACCACCAGAAGAUAGAAUUUCUCACUUUGAGGCAUUUACUCAUUCACAAAAAUAUAUGAAAAAAAAAGAAGAUAUACGAUUCACUCUCUCUCUCUCACAGUUUUUUUUUACACUAUGAUAUAGCAGAAGUGUCCAUUCUUUGGUCAAAAGAAUUUUUUUCCUAGUAAAUCGAGAGAACGCAGUGCAGCCUUUGUUGAACCUGUGACUCUGAAUUCUUCCUCCUUAUCUGAAUCCUAAAGGACAACUUGCCACUGAUGAUGAUGACAAUUACUCUACAGACAAUGACAUCCAGAUUCCACCACCAAACUGACGAGAUGAGCUGCAGUGUGAGCUAUCUCAUCUGUCAACUGGAAGCAGGCCGAUUCCCAAUUGUUACGUACGGCAAAAGGCUGUUGCUUAUUCGCUCUUGCGAUCUGGUUUACUUUGCCAAAUCUUUUAUAGAUUAGUUUUGUGCGGGCCAACCAAAGUAAGUUAGCUCAAUUGCAGCAAAAGGCUGGUGUUUUUUUUUCUUAAGAUUGCAGUCUCCUGAAGACGAAUGGAUCGCUGACUGGUUGUGUUUGAAUUUA